UGAUGUCACAGGGACAGCUGACACCCAAGGUGAAGGUCAGAUGGCAAGAUUUCUCACCCUGCGGGAAGGAGCAUGGCACAUGGGAGCUCCCUGUGGGCUCUCCUGGUCUCCACAUGUCUUGGCUUCAGCAUGGCCCAGACAGUCACUCAGACACAACCAGAAAUGUCUGUGCACGAGCCAGAGACAGUGACCCUGGACUGCACGUAUGACACGCGGGACAGCAAUUACUAUUUGUUUUGGUGCAAACAGCCUCCUGGCAGGGAGCUGAUUCUCAUUAUUCGCCAAGAAGCUCACAAGCCAGAGAAUGCCACGCAGAAUCGUUUCUCUGUGAACUUUCAGAAAGCAGCCAAAGCCUUUAGUCUCAAGAUCUCAGACUUGCAGCUGGAGGAUGCCGGGACGUAUCUCUGUGCUCUCAGGAGCUCACAGUGA